rnacentral:RNase_P_RNA from 1 species
CCAGUUGGCUGGGCAGCCGCGCUUUACCAAUGCCGAAAGGCGGUAAGGUGAGGAAAGUCCGGGCUCCACGGAAACACGGUGCCGGAUAACGUCCGGCGAGGGCGACCUCAGGGAAAGUGCCACAGAAAGCAAACCGCCCCGUUUACGGGGUAAGGGUGAAAGGGUGGGGUAAGAGCCCACCGCGUGUCUGGUGACAGAGACGGCACGGUAAACCCCACCGGGAGCAAGACCGAAUAGGGAUGACGCGGGUCCUGCGCAAGCAGGGCUACAGCCUGUUUCCGGGCCAGUCAUCCGGGUGGGUUGCGAGAGGCAGCGUGCAAAUGCUGUCCCAGAUGAAUGGCUGCCACGUUCCGGGCGACCGGAGCCAUACAGAACCCGGCUUACAGGCCAACUGGCACC